UGUUAGCGGCGGACGGGUGAGUAACACGUGGGUAACCUGCCUGUAAGACUGGGAUAACUCCGGGAAACCGGGGCUAAUACCGGAUGGUUGUUUGAACCGCAUGGUUCAGACAUAAAAGGUGGCUUCGGCUACCACUUACAGAUGGACCCGCGGCGCAUUAGCUAGUUGGUGAGGUAACGGCUCACCAAGGCGACGAUGCGUAGCCGACCUGAGAGGGUGAUCGGCCACACUGGGACUGAGACACGGCCCAGACUCCUACGGGAGGCAGCAGUAGGGAAUCUUCCGCAAUGGACGAAAGUCUGACGGAGCAACGCCGCGUGAGUGAUGAAGGUUUUCGGAUCGUAAAGCUCUGUUGUUAGGGAAGAACAAGUGCCGUUCAAAUAGGGCGGCACCUUGACGGUACCUAACCAGAAAGCCACGGCUAACUACGUGCCAGCAGCCGCGGUAAUACGUAGGUGGCAAGCGUUGUCCGGAAUUAUUGGGCGUAAAGGGCUCGCAGGCGGUUUCUUAAGUCUGAUGUGAAAGCCCCCGGCUCAACCGGGGAGGGUCAUUGGAAACUGGGGAACUUGAGUGCAGAAGAGGAGAGUGGAAUUCCACGUGUAGCGGUGAAAUGCGUAGAGAUGUGGAGGAACACCAGUGGCGAAGGCGACUCUCUGGUCUGUAACUGACGCUGAGGAGCGAAAGCGUGGGGAGCGAACAGGAUUAGAUACCCUGGUAGUCCACGCCGUAAACGAUGAGUGCUAAGUGUUAGGGGGUUUCCGCCCCUUAGUGCUGCAGCUAACGCAUUAAGCACUCCGCCUGGGGAGUACGGUCGCAAGACUGAAACUCAAAGGAAUUGACGGGGGCCCGCACAAGCGGUGGAGCAUGUGGUUUAAUUCGAAGCAACGCGAAGAACCUUACCAGGUCUUGACAUCCUCUGACAAUCCUAGAGAUAGGACGUCCCCUUCGGGGGCAGAGUGACAGGUGGUGCAUGGUUGUCGUCAGCUCGUGUCGUGAGAUGUUGGGUUAAGUCCCGCAACGAGCGCAACCCUUGAUCUUAGUUGCCAGCAUUCAGUUGGGCACUCUAAGGUGACUGCCGGUGACAAACCGGAGGAAGGUGGGGAUGACGUCAAAUCAUCAUGCCCCUUAUGACCUGGGCUACACACGUGCUACAAUGGGCAGAACAAAGGGCAGCGAAACCGCGAGGUUAAGCCAAUCCCACAAAUCUGUUCUCAGUUCGGAUCGCAGUCUGCAACUCGACUGCGUGAAGCUGGAAUCGCUAGUAAUC
rnacentral:rRNA from 1 species